GACGAACGCUGGCGGCGUGCCUAACACACGCAAGUCGAACGGAGUUCCUUCGGGGACUUAGUGGCGAACGGGUGAGCAACGCGUGAGAAACCUGCCUUUCAGUGGGGGACAACAGUGGAAACUACUGCUAAUACCGCAUAAUGUUAUUUGGGGGCAUCCCUGAAUAACCAAAGAUUUAUUGCUGAAAGAUGGUCUCGCGUCCGAUUAGCUAGUUGGUGAGGUAACGGCUCACCAAGGCGAUGAUCAGUAGCCGGUCUGAGAGGAUGAACGGCCACAUUGGGACUGAGAUACGGCCCAGACUCCUACGGGAGGCAGCAGUGGGGAAUAUUGGGCAAUGGGCGAAAGCCUGACCCAGCAACGCCGCGUGAAGGAAGAAGGCCUUCGGGUUGUAAACUUCUUUUACCAGGGACGAACAAAUGACGGUACCUGGAGAAAAAGCAACGGCUAACUACGUGCCAGCCGCCGCUGUAAAAC
rnacentral:rRNA from 1 species